UUUUAUAUAAUGAAAAAAAAACUAUCUGCUCAUUGGCCCGUCUUCCUCCUCCGCCUCCCCGUCUUCCUCCUCCGCCUCCUACACUAUUCCUCUUCCGCCGCUCUCCAUGCCCUAGGCCUAGAGGCUCCAUCCAUGAGAUGUGGUCUCAGUAUUAGGUAGACGACGACGGCGGCCGGUGGCGCUCCCAUUCAUGGCCGGCGAGCAGAAGCUGCAACUUCCGUCGCGCCACGAGGUACACUGCUGCCACGCGCCCAACCGACUCUCUUUCCCUCUUUGUUCUCUGCCAUAGGUCGCUGGCCAUCGAUGCUGCAACUCAAUCUCUCCAAUCCCUCCCUCCCAGAUCUUUAGAUCUCCUCUUAUUUCAACUUUUCAAAUCCAUGACCGUAGUGAUGAUCUCAGGUAAGCCAUGUGCGUUUCUAUUUCCCAUUAGAUUCAUGUGCCCCUUUGAUCUAGAAAAACAUGCCAAAUCUGCGUGUUCUUUCGAUCUGGAAAAGAUUGCAUCACAAUAGCAUUAGUAAUUUGUGUUUUUUCUUGCGGGGAUUAGUAAUUUGUGUUUUAGGGAUCUAUCUAGGUUUUUUAUUUUUUUGGUGUAACAUUAGUAUUGUUUCUCACUGUGUAUAUGUAUCAAACUCGCAUUAUUAUUGUUGGAGUUCCAUGUAUACAGAUCUCUUCUCUGUAUUUCAUUGCAAUGUUAUGGUCCGUGCUGCAAUCCAAUGUCUCCUUAAUGCCCUUCCCACCCAACCAUUAGAUCUCUUCUUAUUUCAAGUUUUUAAAUCCAGGACGGUUGGUUCAUCAUAUGAGGAGGUGUAUGCAUGAUGGUUUGGAGAAAGGAGGUUGCCAUUGGUACUUGAGGCCGUCAAGUUGAGGAAUUACGUUGGAUUGGUGGCACUCCAACUCACAAUCCAAACCCAACUCGAGUUCAUCUCCCCUUAUUCCUGUCCCACCCCACCGGUAAAUACCCCUGAAUUAUUAAAUCCUAAUUCUUCCAUCCAUUGAAUUCAUCACUGAACACCUAAUAAGUCGGCUUAAUCCAUCACGUCUCAUCAACAGCAAAAGUUUUUUUUUUUCAUAUCUAUCUUCACCGCUUCUCUGUGUCAGAUUAUACAUUUAGGCGAGCGGAGGGGAACCAACUAGGGUUUGAACUGCAUUGCUUAAAGUGGCACCAUCCAGUGAGUUUCUGUUAAACUACAUCUACAUCAAUUGCCCCACUAGCCAAUUUACAUUUUUUGCAGGAAGCUUUACACAUGUCCUCCCAUGCAACCAUUUGUUAGACAACAAAAUUAGUUGAUGAUUCCUAUGUAAUGAAUUUGGACAUUGUAUGUUAUUUCUUCAGAGUAAACACUAAUUGUUAGAUUAUCUGCAUGUUAGUGUGGUAUGUAUAUAUAUAUAAUAAUUCUCUCUUCCGGGAUUAAAAAAAAGCCAAGUUAACAUUUUAAGUUUUACAAAUUUUCCAGAUUUCUCAAAAUGAUUUCUAAUAUUGUGUAUAAUCUAUCUUUGGCAGUUCCAUAGUAAGAUUUUCAAAUUGUCACCCAUGCAAAAAAUUAAGCUAGAUGUAUGGCGUACUUGAGUUAUAUAGGUUCUGUUUACAGCACAUACAUGUACUGUGUUUGAAAAGGGAGCCAAAUCUAUGAUUUUAUUAUCAAACACACAUGAAAUUUUGCUGCAAAUGUAGCCAUGGAAUCCAUAUUUCCUAGGUUCAUUCCAAUAAAUAUGAUAUUUCUUUUGGAGUUCCAGUGUUUUGAUUUUAGAGAUGCUAACUUAUACAAAAAUAUGCUAAUAUAUAUUACCACCUAAGAUAUCAGAGUGCCCUUUUAGUGAUUUGCAUAUUUAAGGCGGGGAGGUAUAUACAUUGAUAAUGAUCCAAAUAUUGUCAGCUAAAUAUGUUUUUGUGAAAUUGACAGAUUUAUGUGUUCUAUUGUGAGCAGCAGAAUGUUUAGUGUACAUGCGUGACACUAUAUCUACUUCAAAUAGUACUGUAGACUAGGAACUGUAGAAAAAAUAUGUGAGAAAACUUAAUCACUACCAUACUAUUUGUAAGUAGGUUGCAAAUAGGACAUAUAAUCCUUAUACGAUCUUAACUACCUCCAAUUUCAGUAUGGUCGCGUCAUUGGUCACAUUGUAACUGUACCUUCUACUACAGGUUUGACUUGAAUUUUGGCUUCUGUACGUAUGGUGUUGGUUCGCCUCUCCAUAGGUUUCUACCUCCCGGAAUUCAUCUUCCUGUUGCCACAUAAUUACAUCAAUUGUUAUUGGAAAAUCAAUGUAUAGAUCCAUUGUUUCCCUCUAUAGUGCACAUGCUCUUAUAUUUGUUUUUGGACUGAUUCUUCCAUCGAUUUCUUGCUAUGUUUGGAUAACUAGAGUAUCUAAUUUGAAAUUAUCCAGUCUUCUGUAUGUUCACUUGCAUAGAUGGCUUAAUCUAGAACCUAAACUGAAGACUCAAUAUAGCACAUAUACUUGGCCAGUUAUCCUAAGAAUAUUAAUCCACCUGGACUUUUAACUUGACUUCCAAAGAAGUUCUUAACUAUCAAGCAUUUUUGAGUUUUUAGUAAACUGAAAUAAUGUUGCACUCUGACAAUACUAUUCUGAUUUUGUAAGUUAAUAGAAAUCCUUCAAUUUCAUACCACUUUUACAUUUGGAUGAUUGCGACAUUAUAUCUUCUCUGAAUUCCGCUUGCAUGUUUCCAGUUGAAACAGUAACUGAGUUUGAUAAGUAACCACUAUAUUAUUUUCUAUGUGUAAUUGGCAUGUACACAUGUUGUCGCUCUGCUUGAGUCAUCCAUCUCCACAUUACGAGCCUGAGACUUCCAUCACAACAAUCUAUAUGUAUCCAGGUAGUGUCCAAUAUGUACACACAAGCUCUUCUCACAGUCCGACUAAGUUGAUUGUAACUGAGUGUGUGUGUGUGGCCAUGAGGCAGACUUUAUCUUGGUCUGAGUAUCAGUUCCCUUCAACGGCACAAUUUUGGAUGCUAUUUUCUUCUAGAUGUAUAGGUUUCUGCGGGUCCCAUUGGCUGCUACAUUUUAGUGAGACGAUAGCUCAAUGUCAUGCUCACCAGUUCUGUAAAAAUGAAAAAUCGAGUUGACUGUAUUUUGUACCUGUUUUAGUAAUUACAUGCUGUGAUUAUUUUCUUUCUAGAUAUGGAAAUACUCUAAGGAUUAAGAUUUUUGAGACGUUAAGGUAUCUGAUGAUUAAUUAGCCUUUGUAAGAUUUAUGCACUCAGGUCAUACAACCUAGAUAAUUCUCCUUGGAUCUCCAUAAUUUCUAACUGAAUAUAGUUGUAUACUGACAGUAAAUCCCGUUUUAGUAAUUAGUUGGAUAUAAUUCUUUGACAUGUUUUUAUUAAAAUGUCUGCUUAAAUCAGCGUUAGAUACUCCCAUAAUCGAUUACUUUUUGGAUAGAAUUAUUACUAUAAGAAGUAUAUUGGUUCUCCGGUGUUUUCAGUUCGUACAAUAAACAAAUUAUAUUGUUUUCCAUUAAUCAUUUCUCAUGUAGUUUUCCUCUGCAGUAUGUAUCUUUUGCUUCAUAAUUCAUCUGUUCACAAGAUUGAUGCCUAGAAAUUUCAGCCUUCCGUGCUAAAUGCCAUUCUCUUUUGACUUGAUAAAUACCAGGUAACAUGGAGUCUGCUCAUUUGUAACUGCAUAGGGAUAGGAACAGACUCCAUGUAAUUACAAAUGAGAACAUGGAUUCAGCUUAAGUUUGAGAAAGUGGCGGACAAAAGAGAACUGGACUAUUGUUGCUGAGCGAUAGCUCUGGCCGCAUGAUCAUCUAUGUAUAUAGUUUUUAACAAUAAAUGUAUCCUGAUUGGUAUAGCACAAUUGGAAAUCUUACUUUCUUCUGAUCUCUUAAUUUCAAGAUGAACUGGAGAGGGGAAUUUGUACUAAGUUUGGAAUCUGGCACAGUAAGUGUGUAUUUGCGGUAUUGAUGUAUAGUUAUUAAGAAAGUUACAUUUUUCCAGCUAUUGUGCUACUGAGAAGGAAGCAUGGCUGAGAAUUGCUCUGGUGGAGUUGAAUGUCUUUGUGACUGAAUACUAGAGACGCUGACUUGCAGCCACUCUUUACAGUCCUACCACCUAGCUUUUAUCUCUCACCUUCUGUUAUUUUCAUGUUAACACUGCCAUUGGGGCAAAUCUAUAUUGCUUAUUGAUCGAGUCUAGCUAUUGGUAGAAUUCCAUGUUUCCUACACUAUAUUAU
rnacentral:lncRNA from 1 species